AGGGGGACGCAGAGAGAGCCAGCGAAGUCUGCGGGACAUGGACGUCAUGCACAGGAACGGUGGUCAGAUCCGGUGAGCGGCAGUGAGAAAUCAGGCAGCCAGGUAGAGGUGGGGAGGUGCUGGUGGCUGCCUCCUUGACGGCAUCGAGUUGGGCUUGCUCCCAGAGCAGAAGGAGACAGCGAGAACAGCCAAGCUGCAUGCUGGGCCUCUCAGUCAGGGCCUCUGAGGGCUUGCUGUGUUCCAGGCAGAACCCCCUUGUGAAUUAAACAUGAUUCCCACGCUGCAGUUCUUUGCUUCACUCUGCUGCCUGUUUCGCCCCAAAGGCAGGUGUUCGCUUUUUCCCCGAAAACGGGAGAUGCUGAAGAGAAUGACGCCCUCCCUGUACCUCGGCCUGGAACGCAGCCCCCAGGCCUGGAGUGACAGCAGCCACGCGUGAAAACAAGAGCCAGUUCCAGAAACGCCCGCUGUCCAAACUAUGCCAGCCGCGGCCCGUCUCCAGAUUUCCGUCAAGGGAGCAACAGUUUCUCUUACCUUAAGAUGAAAGUCCCCUCCUUGGUAUCAAGGGACUGCUCGCCGCCCGCGCAGCGACCUCAGCCGCAGCCUCAGAGACCCGGGAUGCCGCCGGCACUUCCGCCGCCGGCGGCUCUGCUCCCCAAACGCCAGCUUUCACUUCCGGUACCGGUUCAAGAUGGCGGCGGCCACGCGGGAAAAAUUUCUUCAGAACCAACCGUGGACCCGUAAUUGCCAUGCACUUUUGGAUGCUGAAAUUGACACUGGUGGCCAUCCUGGUGCAGAGGUGACCCAGACUCCAGCCCUAGACUCAGCCCUGACUUUUCUUUUCCCACCCAAGUUCCAGCAUAUCUAUGGAUUUUGAAAAUUUUCGAAUUGUUAUCUGGGAAAUGGUGAAGCCACUUGUCAUAUCAUGAAGUCAGUUAAUGGAGAGAUGCUUGUGGUAAAGAACUGAGGUCUUCUGGCAACCAGCCAGCACCAUGUUGCCAGCUCUGUCUACGCCUAGCUUGGAGCUGGAUCCUCUUCCCGUCUCAGUCAAGCCUUCAGAUGACGGUAGCCCUGGCUGACAUCUUGACUGCAACCUCAAGGGAGGUGACCCACUGAAACUAGGAGCUCCAAGUUCACAGUCUGAGGAGGCACCCUGCGAGGUGGCUGGGCAGUUUCCUCGGCCCCCGGCUCCUGCAACCACUCAACUCCUGCUGGGGCCUGGGGCCUUGCUGGUGAGCACAUGCUGUACUCUUCUGCCCGGCUAGCAGACAGACCUUUCUGCUGUCUCCAGCCUGCACACAAACAGGGGAUGGAUCCAUCUCUGCCUUGUUUCCCCAGUUACAGCCAAACAGGAGCGCAUUGCGGCACAGACGCCUUCAGAGCAGGCCACCAUCGGGACAAAGAGCGCCACCGUGAAUAAACUCCCUGGUUUCAGGCCCUGCAGUUCUGCUCCUGAAUGCUGUCCCUGCCGAUGGCUUAAAGAUGUGCACCUGAACCUCUGAGGGACACUUGGGCCCUCUGCCUCACAGCCACUGUCUUCCAGGGAAACACACCUGCUCUUUGCACCUACUCUUCGUCACAGUGGAUUCGCCACAACGAAAAAAACUCCCUAUCUGGAAGCUUCCACAGGAAGAGCCCUUACCUGAGAAGGAUGACAUCCAUCAAAAGCAGCACCUUGGGCCCAAGACAAAGGCCACCAGUGCACACCUGGACUGACCUGGGGGGAGUCACAAGCAUGCUUCCUGGUCUACAGCCCAGACAUAAACCCUUCAUUUGGGUAACGCAGAAGCCUGAUGCCAAUGGAGACAUUCCAGUACCCAGUGCAAUGGGCAAACGCCCUGGGUCAUACUGACCCAAACAGUAACUGGGUCAUUUCCCAUGAGGCCUUGCACUUUUGCAAGUGAGGCCUAUCAGUGCUGUGACCUCAGGGAAAUCAGGACAUGCUGGUCCUCCAGGACCCACGUGUCACCCGUAGGCACACAGUGAGAGAACCUAGCAAACAACCUGGGUUCCUACAUCCGCAUGAGUUCUAUCGACCCAGGCCAUUCACCCCGGAGACCACAGGCUCACUGCAGGAGAGCACUGCCUGCUCUCACAAGUGCUCAGUCCUACCGCCUCACAGCUGUCCAACCACAGGCCAGAGGUUUUCACGGUGGAACCAGCAGGCAGCAGGACCAAAAUGCUGAGGGUCUUCUUUUAAAUGUAUUGGGUCAAUGGAUAGCAGUGGUUCUCAACUGGGGGUAGUCAUGCACCCCAGGACACACUGGGGAGUGUCUGGAGACAUUUUCUGUUCAAAUCUUGGGGGCAUCUAGUGGGUAGAGGCCAGGGAUACUGCUUAGCAUCCCAUAGUGCACAGGAUGCCCCCCCCAUCUCCUUCACCCCACCCCCAUUGCCACAGUCAAGAGUGAAUUGUUCCACAGUGAUGGCUUGAGAAACCCUGUUUAUGAUUCCAGGGUCAAGCUUACAGCAAAAUGCCUUAGACCUUAAACAGAAAACGUGAAGGUCUAAACACAGCAGUAGGAAGUGGCAAAUAAAGCCUGAUCACAAGUGGACUGUAAGGAAGUCCCUAAGACUUAAUGAGCACAGCACAGAAAAGGUCAUCAAACUGAAGGCAGGUGACCACCCCAGCACUCCAUUCAGGAAACCAAAAAAACUCCCAGCCUUGUAAGUUAGACUUAAGGAAGUUAGAUACACGCAAGAGACCUUUAGACUGUUUACACUUAUUUCUAGAAAUCCACAAAAAAAAAAAAAAAAAAAAAAAA
rnacentral:lncRNA from 1 species